rnacentral:ncRNA from 1 species
CAUAUCGGAACCUGUCCAGGUUCCCCCGGUUAUGCGGGGGAUAAAUGGGAACCGGGUGAAAAUCCCGGACGGUCUGGCCACUGUGAGUGGGGAGCGGCUCCCAAAACGCCACUGGGUUGAGUAAUACCCGGGAAGGCGGGAGAUACGCGGGGAUCCACGAGUCAGGAGACCUGCCUGGUCGGUUUAAGUGCC